UGGGAGGUCUCUUUUUCCCUGAGUUCAACCAGUGGCAUCGCCGCUGGGGUCGUUUAAACUCAGAAACCUCAGGGUGAUGUGAGAGAGGGAGGGUUCUGAGGUCUUAUAGUCAUGGGUUCGAACCUCAGCUCCAUUAGUUGCCUACUCAGUGACCUCAUACAAGUUAAACUUGCCUUCUUCGCGCGAUUCUCCCUUGUGAUAUUAUUGCUAAGUUCUAAUAAUGGGGGACUACGUUUGGAGUGCCUGGAAGACCUGGUUCACUAGGUUUUAUCGAGUGUCUUAUCACGUGCUAAGCGCUGGAAAUAGUAAUUGUGAACAGGACCCAUAGUUCUUGCCCUCGACCUAACAUUUCUAACGCAAACGGAACAAAAAGAAGUAAAUUACAAGUAAGUAACGAAGUGUGGUAAGUGCUCUGAGGGAAACAGAACUGGAAUACAGAAAAAUGGAGGAACCUACAUUAGGUAAAAUGGCCAGGGGAGAAAUCUUUGAAGUUAUAACCUGAGUAGAGAAUAAGAAGGAAUGUCAAAAUCAACGGUCUUGAAGAAAGAAGAGAGCGUGGCUGGAAGGCAAUAGCUUGUGCUUCAUCCAGUCCCUUGGACUGCGAGGUCAAACCAGUCAAUUCUAAAGAAAAUCAUCCCUGAAUAUUCAUUGGAAGGACUGCUGCUGAAGCUGAAACUCCAAUACUUUGGCCACCUGAUGUGAAGAACUGACUCACUGGAAGAGACCCUGAUGCUGGGAAAGAUUGAAGGCAGGAGGAGAAGGGGACGACAGAGGAUGAGAUGGCUGGAUGGCACCACUGACUCAGUGGACAUGAGUUUGAGCAAGCUCUGGGAGUUAGUGAUGGACAGGGAAGCCUGGAGUGCUACAGUCCAUGAGGUGGCAAAGAGUCAGACAUGACUGAACUGAACUGACUGAUUGUUAACUUAAGGUUGAAACAGAGCCCCUUGUUUGAGUUUCCGUAGACGUUGUACAGAUGUGAGAGUUGGACCAUAAAGAAGGCUGAGUGCUUAAAACUUUGAUGCUUUUGAAUUGUGGUGCUGGAGAAGACUCUUGAGAGUCUCUUGGCCAACAAGGAGUUCAAACCAGUCAAUCCUAAAGGAAAUCAACCCUGACUGUUCAUUGGAAGGACUCUUGUGGAAGCUGAAGCUCCAAUACUUUGGCCACCUGAUGCGAAGAGCAGACUCAUUGGAAAAGACCUUGAUGCUGGGAAAGAUUGAAGGCAAAAGGAGAAGGGGUGGCAGAGGAUGAGAUGGUUAGAUAGCAUCACCAACUCAAUGGACAUGAAUCUGAACAAACUCCAGGAGAUAAUGGAGGACAGAGGAGCUGGCAUGCUCCAGUUCAUGGGGUUGCAAGGAGUGGAACAUGAGUUAAAUGACUGAACAACAACAAAUUAUUUAUGUGCAUGGAUUUUUAAAGUUAUGUUAAUGAUAUUGUAUGAUGCAUCUUAUUUUUGUCACUAAACAUUCUUUUUUAAAAAAACUUUUGGCCACUCCUCGAGGCAUGUGGGAUCCUGGUUCCCCAGCCAGGGACGGAACCCACACCGCCUGCAGUGGAAGCACUGGAAGUGCUGAGUCUUAACCACUGGACUGCCCUGCCCUGGAAAUCCCUAAACAUCCUGUUUUUUUAAUGCAAUAUGAACAUCUAACACAUUAUUUCCAACUGUUGUAUAAUAGUACAUUUUACCUACUGAUCUCCUACUGAUGGAUAUCAAAUUAUCUCCAACCCCCUCCCCUCACCAAGGAUGCUGCAGGUAAUGCUCCAUGAAAUAAAAUUAGGUCCUUAUUUCACAUCAUGCAGACAAAAAAAAAUCUAGGCCAUUUGGAAUUCAAUUGUAAAAACUUUUAGAAGAAAAUAUGAGUAUAUUUUUAUAACAUGAGGGUAGGGAAAGAUUUCUUAAAAUAUGGAAAACUAAAAAGUGAAAAUUCAUGAAUUAAAUAAACUUCUGUAUGAUAAUAAACAUUAAAAAACUGACAGUCUACAGGAAAUAACUUGCAAUACAUAUAAACUGUCAAAGGUUUAGUUUUCUGAAUAUGAAGAGUAAGAAAUACCAACUGAGCUAUCAAGGAAGCCCUAUAAGUCAAUAAGCAAAAGACAAAAACAACUUAAAAAUGGAUAAACGACCAGAACAGGCAGUUCCUGGGGUGGGAAAAAUGAAUUACCAAUAAAUGAGACGAUACUCACAUGUACUUCUCUCUAUGUAUGUUUUAAAAGAUUACUUGUAACCUUAAGUCUCUGAGUAUUAACACACAUCUUCUGGGUUGAAUUAUUUAUCAUCCCAUGUACAUGAUUGAUUUAAAAAAGAAUUUUCAACCUAAAAAGUAAAAAUUUAUUGGAAAUACAUCUCCUAAUGAGAUGAGCAAACUUUUAUUUUUCAGUUGGCUUACAGAGAGUGAGACAGUUUGUCACCAGUUCUAGUCCUGUUUUUGUUUUCAUAAGCAAAAGACCUAAGAAAUCAGACUUCUCUGGUGGUCCAUUGGUUAAGAAUCAACCUGCCAAUGGUGGGAACACAGGUUCCAUCCCUGGUCCAGGAAGAUUCUGCAUGGCAACUGGCAGCUAGAGAUAGCCCCGCAGCAACAAAAACCCAGUACAGCCAAAAUUAAAUAAAUAAAAGUUUAAAAAAAUCUAAGAAACCUUAGAAUAAAUAGAUGGGGAUUGGAGAGAGGUGGUAGUUGUUGUUCUUUAAUAUAUAUAGUAAUGUCAGUAUAUGUCCCUUUGUUGGAUGUCCCAGGCAUGGAAUAUUGUGCAGGAAAUAAAGUGGAUGAGCUGAAACUAGGUUUACAGAUACCAACACAAAUAAAUCUUAAAAAUGUAAUGUUGAAUGAAAAAGGAAGUUUCAGGGAAAACCCUGCAGAGGGACUGGGUUCAAUCUGGCCUGAGAGCGAGGCCAGCAGCUCAGCACCGCCACCACCAGCCCCGACCCCCGCCAAAAAGAGGAAGGAAGUUAGAGCAGGAUGGGAAGGUAUGAUAUUUACACAAAUUUUAAAAACACAAGACUGAUAUUGUUGGUGGAUGGAAGACAUACCAUGUUCAGAAUAGUAGGUAUUAGUGGGUAGAAGGGGACCAAAG
ensembl:lncRNA